rnacentral:rRNA from 1 species
GACGAACCGUGCGAACGUUGUUCGGAAUCACUGGACAUAAAGGGCGCGUAGGCGGCCUGUCAAGUCAGGGGUGAAAUCCGGCAGCUCAACUGUCGAAGUGCCUUUGAUACUGACGGGCUCGAGGGAGGUAGGGGUGUGCGGAACUUCCGGUGGAGCGGUGAAAUGCGUUGAUAUCGGAAGGAACGCCGGUGGCGAAAGCGGCGCACUGGAUCUCUUCUGACGCUGAGGCGCGAAAGCUAGGGGAGCAAACGGGG